GUACUUGUAUUAAAGAUAUGAGUAUAUAGAAUUGGCUUACACUCGCCACAAGCUACAUCAAGAUCACAACAAUACAAAUAUACAGUCAUCAUGAAGAAGAGCAGGGUCCAACUACGGACAAAAACAUGUGAUAAAAGAACGACGUAUAUCCUUGCUAUCCCAGGCUGCCAGCAUGGAACCCAUCCUAGAUCGAUCAUGAAGAACAAGAAGAAACUCCAAAAGCACAAUCAUCUCGCUCACGUCAUAAUAUCACUUUACCUGU
rnacentral:lncRNA from 1 species